rnacentral:rRNA from 1 species
UACGAAGGGGCUAGCGUUGCUCGGAAUCACUGGGCGUAAAGCGCACGUAGGCGGACUCUUAAGUCAGGGGUGAAAUCCUGGAGCUCAACUCCAGAACUGCCUUUGAUACUGGGAGCCUUGAGUUCGAGAGAGGUGAGUGGAACUGCGAGUGUAGAGGUGAAAUUCGUAGAUAUUCGCAAGAACACCAGUGGCGAAGGCGGCUCACUGGCUCGAUACUGACGCUGGAGGUGCGAAAGCGUGGGGAGCAAACAGG